rnacentral:pre_miRNA from 1 species
AGUACAAUUGCUGGGUCAUAUGGUAGUUGCAUGUUUAGUUUUAAAAGAAACUGCAGAACUGUUUUUUCAGAGCAGGUGUGCCAUUUUAUAUUCCUUCAGCUAU